rnacentral:rRNA from 1 species
GACGAACGCUGGCGGCGUGCUUAACACAUGCAAGUCGAACGGAAAGGCCCUGCUUUUGUGGGGUGCUCGAGUGGCGAACGGGUGAGUAACACGUGAGUAACCUGCCCUUGACUUUGGGAUAACUUCAGGAAACUGGGGCUAAUACCGGAUAGGAGCUCCUGCUGCAUGGUGGGGGUUGGAAAGUUUCGGCGGUUGGGGAUGGACUCGCGGCUUAUCAGCUUGUUGGUGGGGUAGUGGCUUACCAAGGCUUUGACGGGUAGCCGGCCUGAGAGGGUGAACGGCCACAUGGGGACUGAGAGACGGCCCAGACUCCUACGGGAGGCAGCAGGGGGGAAUAUUGCACAAUGGGCGGAAGUCUGAGGAAGAAACGCCGCGUGCGGGAUGACGGCCUUCGGGGUGUAAACCGCUUUCGCCUGUGACGAAGCGUGAGUGACGGUAAUGGGUAAAGAAGCACCGGCUAACUACGUG